rnacentral:rRNA from 1 species
UGAACGCUGGCGGCGUGCCUAAUACAUGCAAGUCGAGCGAACGGACGAGAAGCUUGCUUCUCUGAUGUUAUCGGCGGACGGGUGAGUAACACGUGUAUAACCUACCUAUAAGACUGGGAUAACUUCUGGAAACCGGAGCUAAUACCGGAUGAUAUUUUGAACCGCAUGGUUCAAAAGUGAAAGACGGUCUUGCUGUCACUUAUAGAUGGAUCCGCGCUGCAUUAGCUAGUUGGUAAGGUAACGGCUUACCAAGGCAACGAUGCGUAGACGACCUGAGAGGGUGAUCGGCCACACUGGAAGUGAGACACGGACCAGACUCCUACGGGAGGCAGCAGUAGGGAAUCUUACGCAAUGGGCGAAAGCGUGACGGAGCAACGCCGCGUGAGUGAUGAAGGUCUUCGGAUCGUAAAACUCUGUUAUUAGGGAAGAACAUAUGUGUAAGUAAAUGUGCACAUCUUGACGGUAACUAAUCAGAAAGCCACGGCUAACUACGUG